rnacentral:rRNA from 1 species
AGUGAACGCUGGCGGUAGGCCUAACACAUGCAAGUCGAACGGCAGCACAGUAAGAGCUUGCUCUUACGGGUGGCGAGUGGCGGACGGGUGAGGAAUACAUCGGAAUCUACUUUUUCGUGGGGGAUAACGUAGGGAAACAUACGCUAAUACCGCAUACGACCUACGGGUGAAAGCAGGGGAUCUUCGGACCUUGCGCGAUUGAAUAAGCCGAUGUCGGAUUAGCUAGUUGGCGGGGGAAAGGCCCACCAAGGCGACGAUCCGUAGCUGGUCUGAGAGGAUGAUCAGCCACACUGGAACUGAGACACGGUCCAGACUCCUACGGGAGGCAGCAGUGGGGAAUAUUGGACAAUGGGCGCAAGCCUGAUCCAGCAAUACCGCGUGGGUGAAGAAGGCCUUCGGGUUGUAAAGCCCUUUUGUUGGGAAAGAAAAGCAGCAGGUUAAUAACCCGCUGUUCUGACGGUACCCAACGAAUAAGCACCGGCUAACUUCGUG